GGAGACGGCGCCCGAGGGAUGGAGGCCGCGCUCCUCUGCGCCCUGGCGGAGGAGGGGGGGUGGGGGACCGGGAAUGGUCACCCGGAGGGUCCGCCCGAGGGGACCCGCCUGACCCACCCCCAUCCCGGGACACCGCCAGGUUACGCCCCCGCCUCCCCGGAGCGGCGGCUGCCUCCCCCUCCCGGUCUCCGGGGCCCCCGCCCGCACGCCCCUCCGCCGGCCGCCCGGGGACCCGACGCCGACGGCGCCCUCUCCAGGCCCGGGGGAGGACGCUGGCGGGGGAGAGGCUGGGCCGCGGCCUGUCCCCGGCGGCGGCGGUGGCGGCGGCGAGCGCGGGGCCGCGCGGACAGCGCCUCCGCCCCGCAGGAACAAAGCGCCCCGCGGGCGGGCGAGCAGCACUCACCGCGGACCGGCGAGCCUGGGUGCGGGGCCCGGGAGCCCCCCAGGCCGGGCCGGGGCCGAGCGCCCGCUGCAGUCCGCGAGCUGCGGGGCCGGGGCCGCCGGGCGACAGCCGCGCUAGGCGGCCGGGGCAGCGACGCCGCCGCCGCCGCUCCCUUCUCCGGCCCGGGUCCCUGCUCCGCCGCGUCUUCUCCCUCGCCGGGUCCCCGCCGCCGCCUCAGCCUCGGCGCUGCACCGGCUGCUCCUCUCCAUCAAGGCCGGGCCGGGCCGCGGGGGACAUCCCGGAAAACAAAAGCACCACAAAAUCCUCGAUUCUUAAGCCCCUGAGUGUGGUGAAAAGAAGAGCUAUUGGAUGCUGUGACUUCAUAGGAAGAAGACCAGAUGGAAGAGAAACUGGGCAAGCAAAUGGGAAUCUCUGGGGAGCGUGUGAACAUACCCCAGACAAGGAGACAGAGUUAAGUAAAUGCUCAGCUUUAUUCUCAUAAUCUCUGUUCUUUGUAAAAGACGAUUAUUUCUUUUCCUUGUUUUCCUCUGAUGGACUGUCUAAAAUAUCAAGUGAAUAAUGACAAGCCAUAUU
rnacentral:lncRNA from 1 species